CGGGAGGCUUAACACAUGCAAGUCGAGGGGUAAGGUCUCUUCGGAGAAUACACGACCGGCGCACGGGUGAGUAACGCGUAUGCAACCUACCUAUAACACAAGGAUAGCUCCCGGAAACGGGAAUUAAUACUUGAUGACAUUCAAAGAUGGCAUCAUCAAUGAAUCAAAGUUCCGGCGGUUAUAGAUGGGCAUGCGUGACAUUAGCUAGUUGGUGAGGUAGAGGCUCACCAAGGCGACGAUGUCUAGGGGGUCUGAGAGGAUGAUCCCCCACACUGGUACUGAGACACGGACCAGACUCCUACGGGAGGCAGCAGUGAGGAAUAUUGCGCAAUGGAGGAAACUCUGACGCAGCCAUCCCGCGUGCAGGAUUGACGGCCCUAUGGGUUGUAAACUGCUUUUCUAUACCAAGAAACACCGAUACGUGUAUCGGUUUGCCGGUAGUAUAGGAAUAAGCAUCGGCUAACUCCGUGCCAGCAGCCGCGGUAAUACGGAGGAUGCAAGCGUUAUCCGGAAUCACUGGGUUUAAAGGGUGCGCAGGCGGAAUAGUAAGUCAGAGGUGAAAGCCCACAGCUCAACUGUGGAAUUGCCUUUGAUACUGUUAUUCUUGAGUGUAGUUGAAGUAAGCGGAAUAUAGCAUGUGGCGGUGAAAUGCAUAGAUAUGCUAUAGAACACCAAUUGCGAAGGCAGCUUGCUAAACUAUAACUGACGCUGAGGCACGAAAGCGUGGGGAGCGAACAGGAUUAGAUACCCUGGUAGUCCACGCCGUAAACUAUGAACACUCGCUGUUGGCAAUACACAGUCAGCGGCUGAGCGAAAGCGUUAAGUGUUCCACCUGGGAAGUACGAUCGCAAGG
rnacentral:rRNA from 1 species